GAGCUGUGGAUAGGGGUGAAAGGCCAAUCAAACUUGGAGAUAGCUCGUACUCCCCGAAAUAUAUUUAGGUAUAGCGUCUGGUUUUGUCUGUCCGGAGGUAGAGCACUGAUUAGGCUAGGGGGCUUCACCGCCUACCAACCCUAGACAAACUCCGAAUGCCGGCACAGAGCCACCAGGCAGUCAGUCGCAGGGUGAUAACGUCCUGUGGCGAGAGGGGAACAACCCAGACCACCAGCUAAGGCCCCUAAAUCCGGGCUAAGUUGAUCAAAGAAAGUUGAGUUGCUCAGACAACUAGGAGGUUGGCUUAGAAGCAGCCAUUCCUUUAAAGAGUGCGUAAUAGCUCACUAGUCAAGCGACUCGGCGUCGAUAAUAAUCGGGCAUAAGCUCGGUGCCGAAGCUGUGGGAAUGAAAAUUCGGUAGGGGAGCAUUCCAGUUGCGCUGAAGGUGUUACCGUGAGGGAUGCUGGAGCGGCUGGAAGCGAAACUGUAGGCAUGAGUAACGAUAAGAAGGGUGAAAAACCCUUCCACCGUAAACCCAAGGGUUCCUGAUCAACGCUAAUCGGAUCAGGGUUAGUCGAGACCUAAGGUGUACCUGGUGAGGCCAGGGAAGCUGAUGGCAAAGCGGUUAAAUAUUCCGCUACCCGGGUGAACGUUAGGCUAAGGCGUGACGCAGAAGUGACACUCCCGCGCCCCGACGAAUGGGCGUUAAAGGGCGUAGGCUUGGAGGUAGGCAAAUCCGCCUCCUGUACGGCUGAACCCCGACAGUACCCGGAUUCUCGCGAUGAAGGGAUAGUGGAGGUAAUCAUGCUGCCAAGAAAAGCGUCGUAGUUUGUUCAACCGGCUCGUACCCCAAACCGACACAGGUGGGUGAGGAGAGUAUCCUAAGGUGCUCGAGUAAUUCAUGGCUAAGGAACUAGGCAAAUUGGAUCCGUAACUUCGGGAGAAGGAUCCCCCUCCUAUGGAGGGGCGCAGUGAAAAGGCCCAAGCGACUGUUUACCAAAAACACAUGUCUCUGCUAAGCCGCAAGGCGAUGUAUAGGGACUGACACCUGCCCGGUGCUGGAAGGUUAAGGAAGGGGGUUAGCUUCGGCGAAGCCCUUGACUGAAGCCCCAGUAAACGGCGGCCGUAACUAUAACGGUCCUAAGGUAGCGAAAUUCCUUGUCGGGUAAGUUCCGACCUGCACGAAUGGUGUAACGACUUGGGCACUGUCUCGGCCAUGAGCUCGGUGAAAUUGUGGUAUCGGUGAUGACGCCGAUUACCCGCAGCGGGACGAAAAGACCCCGUGAACCUUUACUACAACUUUACAUUGGCUUUAGCUGUAACAUGUGUAGGAUAGGCGGGAGACUGCGAACCAUGGUCGCCAGGCUGUGGGGAGUCACCCUUGAAAUACCGCCCUUGUUACAGGUGAAGUCUAACCCUUACGAGGGAACAGUGUAUGGUGGGUAGUUUGACUGGGGCGGUCGCCUCCUAAAGAGUAACGGAGGCUCCCAAAGGUACCCUCAGCACGGUCGGCAAUCGUGCGUAGAGUGUAAAAGCAUAAGGGUGCUUGACUGCGAGACAUACAGGUCGAGCAGGCACGAAAGUGGGGUUUAGUGAUCCGGUGGCACCGCAUGGAAGGGCCAUCGCUCAAAGGAUAAAAGGUACUCCGGGG
rnacentral:rRNA from 1 species